UACGAAGGGGGCUAGCGUUGCUCGGAUUGACUGGGCGUAAAGGGCGCGUAGGCGGUUCGUACAGUCAGACGUGAAAUUCCUGGGCUCAACCUGGGGGCUGCGUUUGAUACGUGCGGACUUGAGUGCGGAAGAGGGUCGUGGAAUUCCCAGUGUAGAGGUGAAAUUCGUAGAUAUUGGAAAGAACACCGGUGGCGAAGGCGGCGACCUGGUCCGAUACUGACGCUGAGGCGCGAAAGCGUGGGGAGCAAACAGG
rnacentral:rRNA from 1 species